AGAGUUUGAUCAUGGCUCAGAACGAACGCUGGCGGCAGGCUUAACACAUGCAAGUCGAGCGCCCAGCAAUGGGAGCGGCGGACGGGUGAGUAACACGUGGGAACAUGCCCUUCGGUACGGAACAACUCAGGGAAACUUGAGCUAAUACCGCAUACGCCCUAACGGGGAAAGAUUUAUCGCCGAAGGAUUGGCCCGCGUCUGAUUAGCUAGUUGGUGAGGUAACGGCUCACCAAGGCUUCGAUCAGUAGCUGGUUUGAGAGAGCGACCAGCCACACUGGGACUGAGACACGGCCCAGACUCCUACGGGAGGCAGCAGUGGGGAAUCUUGGACAAUGGGGGAAACCCUGAUCCAGCCAUGCCGCGUGAGUGAUGAAGGCCCUAGGGUUGUAAAACUCUUUCGGCGGGGACGAUAAUGACG
rnacentral:rRNA from 1 species